rnacentral:lncRNA from 12 species
UUGAGAGUCUGUAAACUGCCACUCCUCACAACCCCAGCGCAGCCCUUCCAGCCCACGGGAUCCUGUCCCCAGGCUUUAAUAAAACCAAACUUUUUGCACCGAAGAUGUCUCAAGAAUUCUUUCUUGAUGUUUUGCUUCUGAACUCCAACAUUUCACAUCAAAUUAUAUUUUCAAUUCAUUUUAAGUCAAAGUAGAGGACGGGCAGAUGAACAGCCAAGCACUGAACCUCAGCAGUUUCUCUUCUAUGGCUGGUUUCCCUGUUCUCAGGACUACUACAUUCUACUUUGGCUCACACUCCCUUGCUCAUUGCCCUCACGAGAGACUGACAGACAUUCCUCUUUGCUAAUGUGUGGCUCACUUCCUACAGGAAUAUCCCUGACUCAUCUUGCUCCUGUACCUCACCUACCAGCACACAGGAGCCCACCCUUUCUGCUGCUGGUAUCGAGGACAUCCAGGAAUGAAGAAAUCUUGAUGUUGUGCUCUCCUUUUGAUCUCCAAGAUGUGUCCCUUUGUCCCUUUGUCAGCAUGCUGCUUCGUACAACAGCUGCUGUUUUCAGCCAUCCCUACUGAGAGAGAACAACACUGUUUCCUGUUGAUAUAGCUCCUUUGCUCUAAAUCAAAGAAUCAUCGUCUCCAGAAACUGCAGUUGCUCCAAAAUGCACAGCAAAUAUUUCGUGACUGUUCUCCAAACAAGUCUUCAAGAAAAUGUAAACGUUUCUGGAUUUUUUUGUUUUGCCCCUUGUAUUUUUUAAAAAGAUUUCUUUAUUUUAGAGAGCAUGUGCCCGUGCACCUGAGGAGGGCAAGGGGCAGGGGGAGAGGGAGAAAAAUCUUCACACAGACUCCCCACUGAGAGCAGAGCCCAACCCAACAUGGGGCUCAAUCCCGGGACCCUCAGAUCCUGUCCUGAGCUGAAAUCAAGAGUCGGAUGCUCAAUGAACUGAGCCACCCAGGGCCCCCUUGGCCGUUAUAUUUUAUUUAACCAUAGAAUGCAAAAGCUUUUGGUGAACUAGUUCUCAAAUAUCAUUUUGUUGAGCAUAAAAAUCAUUCAAAAGAAUAAUCAUAAGAAAAUCAAUUUGAAAUCAGCAUGUUUCACACUUACAUGAAUAAAGGGCCCUAAGAAAAUAGUGCGUGUGAGUUU